rnacentral:rRNA from 1 species
CACGGAGGGUGCAAGCGUUGUUCGGAAUUACUGGGCGUAAAGGGCGCGUAGGCGGUCUGUUAAGUUCGGUGUGAAAGCCCCCGGCUCACCUGGGGAACUGCGCCGGAAACCGACAGACUCGAGUACCGGAGAGGAGGGUGGAAUUCCUGGUGUAGCGGUGAAAUGCGUAGAUAUCAGGAGGAACACCGGUGGCGAAGGCGGCCCUCUGGACGGAUACUGACGCUGAGGCGCGAAAGCGUGGGGAUCAAACAGG